rnacentral:rRNA from 1 species
UGGGGAAUUUUGCACAAUGGGGGAAACCCUGAUGCAGCGACGCCGCGUGAUUUAGAAGGCCUUCGGGUUGUAAAAAUCUUUUUUACGGGAUGAAAAUGACAGUACCGUAAGAAUAAGGUCCGGCUAAAUACGUGCCAGCAGCCGCGGUAAUACGUAUGGACCGAGCGUUGUCCGGAAUCAUUGGGCGUAAAGGGUACGUAGGCGGCCUAGUAAGUUAGAAGUUAAAGAAUAUAGCUCAACUAUAUAAAGCUUUUAAAACUGCUAGGCUUGAGAGAUGGAAGGGAAAGUGGAAUUCCUAGUGUAGCGGUGAAAUGCGCAGAUAUUAGGAAGAAUACCGGUGGCGAAGGCGACUCUCUGGUCUGUAACUGACGCUGAGGCUCGAAAGCGUGGGUAGCAAACAGG